AUCAACUUUCGAUGGUAGGAUAGAGGCCUACCAUGGUGGUAACGGGUAACGGGGUGUUAGGGCACGACACCGGAGAGGGAGCCUGAGAAACGGCUACCACAUCCAAGGAUGGCAGCAGGCGCGCAAAUUACCCAAUCCCGACACGGGGAGGUAGUGACAAUAAAUAACAAUACGGGGUUCUUUUGGAUUUCGUAAUUGGAAUGAGUACAAUUUAAAUCUCUUAACGAGGAACAAUUGGAGGGCAAGUCUGGUGCCAGCAGCCGCGGUAAUUCCAGCUCCAAUAGCGUAUAUUAAAGUUGUUGCAGUUAAAAAGCUCGUAGUUGAAUUUCGGGGUUAGUAGGCUGGUCGUGCCACAGGUAUGCACUGGUCUUACUGAUUCCUCCUUCCUGAUGAACCGUAAUGCCAUUAAUUUGGUGUUGCGGGGAGUCUGGACUGUUACUUUGAAAAAAUUAGAGUGUUUAAAGCAGGCUAACGCUUGAAUACAUUAGCAUGGAAUAACGAAAUAGGACGUUCGAUCUUAUUUUGUUGGUUUCUAAGAUUGACGUAAUGAUUAAUAGGGAUAGUUGGGGGCAUUAGUAUUCAAUUGUCAGAGGUGAAAUUCUUGGAUUUAUUGAAGACUAACUACUGCGAAAGCAUUUGCCAAGGAUGUUUUCAUUAAUCAAGAACGAAAGUUAGGGGAUCGAAGACGAUCAGAUACCGUCGUAGUCUUAACCAUAAACUAUGCCGACUAGGGAUCGGAUGAUGUUAAUUUUAUAAUGACUCAUUCGGCGCCUUACGGGAAACCAAAGUGUUUGGGUUC
rnacentral:rRNA from 1 species